rnacentral:rRNA from 1 species
UCAGUACGAAUAAUAUGCUGACUAAAGUUUAUUAACACUAAAGGACAAAAAGACCCUCUGAAGCUUUAUAGGGAUAAAACUUGGGUAACAUUCUCAAUACAAAUAUUCUUAUUGCAUGCCAGCUAAAGUAGUAAAUUAUUGGUUUUCUCCUAAGACCACUGUUUAAUUGGGGCGAUAAC